rnacentral:rRNA from 1 species
GUCUACCAACCUGGACACACUUGAUGUCCUCUGAUCUCAGAAGCUAAGCAAGGUCAGGCCUGGUUAAUAUUUGGAUGGGAGAUACCAAUUUCAAAAUAUUCAACAAGACA